UGUUGUAGGGCUAACAAUGUGAUCAGUGAGGGAAAAACGCUGAUGUCGUACAGGAACAAGUCGCCGACGAUGAAGGACAUUACUUGCUAUUCUUGGAAAGGAGUAAGGAUCAAUCUGCCUCCAUCUGGUUUUUCUUCUUGCCUCUUUGUGGACUAAUCAUUGUUGGUGGGUAAAGAUAUUCUUUGACUUGAGCUCUGGAUCGCUGCAGGUCUUGAGACCUGGAUGCAUUUAAAAAUGUCAGCCUCUAAUGGUAACAGCAAAACUAACCUCAGGACACAAAUCGGCACCUGCAGGGUAAAAGUGAGAUUACACAACACAACAUUAAAUCAUCUAAAAUGUCUUGCAGUUUGAAUGUCAGUGAGUCACGUGCUCUGUGUUGGUGCAGGCAGCCGCCAGAUCCUGUGGCUUUGUCGGAGUGCGAAGACGCGGUUAUUUCUGAACAAAGGACCUUAAAUGUGAUAAUAUUACCCUGUCCUCUCUUCCUUUAAGACUUGUAGUUUCCAUUUAAAGGACAGCUGUCCGUGUUCCUCCACACAAGCAUGCAGUUUUCAGAAGUCCACCUUGGCUGAAUGUCUCUCUGCAGCAUACUGUUAUGUUUCUCCUGUCAAAGCUGUGAGUUAAUUGAAGCGUUUGGAUUAAAAUGUAGGUUCAAACCUGGAAAUUAACAGCUUUUUAAACAUGUUU